rnacentral:lncRNA from 1 species
UUUCUUUCCAUUUGGUAGAGAGACCAAUUCCCAAGUAUUGUUCUUAUAAAGUGCCUUCAUUUCCAAGUCCAUGGCUUGUUUCCAUUUCCUGUCAGACAAUGCCUCAGACAAGGAAGUAGGUAUUGUGGUAGUGUUUAGACUUGUGAGGAAGGCUUUAUGGGUAGUUGAUAAUUGUUCAAACCAUAAGUAAUUGGAUAGAGGGUAAAGUNNNNNNNNNNNNNNNNNNNUAUGGGCAAUUGGGAGAUGCGAGUCUUUAGAGUGUAUUGGUGUUACUUCUCUUGAUUUUGGUUUUUUAUGUUUUAUCGGGUUGGGUUCUUGUAAGGUUGAGCUAGAUUCUGGUACCUGAACAAGAGAAAAGAAAAUUCGCAAAUUGAAUCACUAGAUUUUGAAGGGUCAAGGAAUGUUUCUUCAUGUAAUGUUGGAUUGGAUUCAUGGAUAUGAGUAGAUUCGGGAAUGAUAUUCUUUUUC